UACGGAGGGGUGCAAGCGUUAUCCGGAUUCACUGGGUUUAAAGGGUGCGUAGGUGGGUUGGUAAGUCAGUGGUGAAAUCUCCGUGCUUAACAUGGAAACUGCCAUUGAUACUACUGAUCUUGAAUUUUCAGGAGGUAAGCGGAAUAUGUCAUGUAGCGGUGAAAUGCUUAGAUAUGACAUAGAACACCAAUUGCGAAGGCAGCUUACUACAGGAAUAUUGACACUGAUGCACGAAAGCGUGGGGAUCAAACAGG
rnacentral:rRNA from 1 species